CGGGGGGUGCAUAAUCCUGAGAUGGGUGCUCCGACCACCCGCAAGCUCAGCUACCUUCUUUUUAUGGGCCUUCUUCUCCAAUUUUUUCAUCUCAUUCGGGCCCGUCUCCACAACUGUUUCUGCAACCAAGGCAACUAAAUGGUUAGCGUAGGAGUAAAACGAAAAUUAAACAAUAUGGGGUCUUGAGACAAGUGACCCAUGCAUACCUUAAGGGACUGCCUGGCUGAUACCGAUGUUGAACAGCAUUUGUGGUGAUAAAAGCUCUUUCAGUAUCGAAAUCUUGAAGUUAUGUAGGACCCUCGCCUGCUCCCUUUGGCUCUGAUUCAAAAGAGGCUCCUUUAGCAUGGCCUCUUGAGAUUCGCCCCAGGCGACGAACCUCCAAUCCUCACCAAACGUCUGAAAGAUGAAGAGGAACCAUUCCUUCCAACCGUAGACAACGGUAGGCGUGUCCUAUAUCAACGGACGGACAUUCUUCUUCUUUCAUGUUGACACAUAUCACCACCUAUACGAAUCUAGAUGCCUCUUGGGGCUGAAGAAGGAGAGGAAAAGUGCAAUGCUAGGAUCGAUCCCAGCCAGCACGCACGCUAUGUGAAUCUACUGAUAUGUCGCUAAGAGUUCAGGACUAUAGAAUAGAGAGACAUUUUGAGGUGUUAAAGGAGAGCCAUGAAGAAGGGGUGGAGAGAAAGCCUCAGCCUAGCCUGAAAACAUUCUUCGUAAAGACUCAUCCAGCCUGGGAGAGGGCAGCAAACUUGAUCAUCCGGCCUUGGAAUUUUCAGCUAGAACUCUGGGGGGAUUUGAAACUAUUCGUGAAGCAGUAUCACAUUCCUUUCUAUCAGCUCAGACCGAAAUCCUAGUGGAGCAAAAUCAGAGUCUCCAGAGGCAAUCUCCCUUGUAGGAAGAAGUUUGGAAGCCACGGUUAGAAGAAGAGGAAGACUUGCGAUGAAAGGAGACAAGAAUAAACCCUAAAAGCCUAUGUCCAAUCUUGUCUGAGGUUUUAACUAGCUCCAAAGUUCAAAUUAUCACUAAGCGA
rnacentral:lncRNA from 1 species